rnacentral:rRNA from 1 species
AACGAACGCUGGCGGCAUGCCUAACACAUGCAAGUCGAACGAGACCUUCGGGUCUAUUGGCGCACGGGUGCGUAACGCGUGGGAACCUGCCCUUAGGUUCGGAAUAACUCCCCGAAAGGGGUGCUAAUACCGGAUAAUGUCUUCGGACCAAAGAUUUAUCGCCUUUGGAUGGGCCCGCGUUGGAUUAGCUAGUUGGUAGGGUAAAAGCCUACCAAGGCGACGAUCCAUAGCUGGUCUGAGAGGAUGAUCAGCCACACUGGGACUGAGACACGGCCCAGACUCCUACGGGAGGCAGCAGUGGGGAAUAUUGGACAAUGGGCGAAAGCAUGAUCCAGCAAUGCCGCGUGAGUGAUGAAGGCAUUAGGGUUGUAAAGCUCUUUUAACCGGGAUGAUAAUGACAGUACCGGGAGAAUAAGCUCCGGCUAACUCCGUG